rnacentral:rRNA from 1 species
GCGGUACUCCAUAUCGACCUAGAGGAGCCUGUCCUAUAAUCGAUAAUCCACGUUUUACCUCACCACCCCUUGCAAUUCAGCCUAUAUACCGCCGUCGUCAGCCUACCUUAUGAAAGAAACAAAGUAGACAAAACAGUUAAUAACUAAAACGUCAGGUCAAGGUGUAGCACAUGGAGUGGAAGAGAUGGGCUACACUUUCUACCACAGAAUACACGGACAGCACAAUGAAACUUGUGCUAAAAGGUGGAUUUAGCAGUAAGGAAAACAAGAAACUUUGCCUGAAACUCGCUCUGGAGUGCGCACACACCGCCCGUCACCCUCAUCACAAUAACCUAAACCUAAAAAUAUAAAGACUCUAUAAAACAGAUGAGGAAAGUCGUAACAUGGUAAGCGCACCGGAAGGCGCGCUUGGAAUAACAAAAAGUAGCUUAACACAAAGCAUUCAGCUUACAAUUGAAAUAUGUUAGUGAAAUCCUAACCUUUUUGA